AUGGGAUUCCAACUCAGCACCUUUUGUUUUGAGAUUUUGAGAAGAGUUGCUCUUUGGAGAGCACAUUCGAUCUAUGAUUUCACAUUCAUGGACGUUGAUAAGAUCCUUCCAUUUAGUAGCACCUUAGGAUGGCAUAGCCUUAACGUUAAUGGCGAGAUUCAAAAGAGGAAAGGCUUGCGGUGGAUACCUAGGCACCCAGAGACGAGGAAGGGCGUAGCAAGCGACGAAAUGCUUCGGGGAGAUUAA
rnacentral:rRNA from 1 species